rnacentral:rRNA from 1 species
GACGAACGCUGGCGGCGUGCUUAACACAUGCAAGUCGAACGGAAAGGCCCUGCUUUUGUGGGGUGCUCGAGUGGCGAACGGGUGAGUAACACGUGAGUAACCUGCCCUUGACUUUGGGAUAACUUCAGGAAACUGGGGCUAAUACCGGAUAGGAGCUCCUGCUGCAUGGUGGGGGUUGGAAAGUUUCGGCGGUUGGGGAUGGACUCGCGGCUUAUCAGCUUGUUGGUGGGGUAGUGGCUUACCAAGGCUUUGACGGGUAGCCGGCCUGAGAGGGUGACCGGAGGGGUGGGGAGGGGGAGACGGCGAAGACUCAGAAGGGGGGGAGCGGGUGGGAAUGUUGGACGGGGGGGUGAAGGGUGAGGCAGCGGCGCGGUGUGUGGGGCGUGGGCCGUCGGGAUGUAACGCGGUUGCGGGGGUGGGGGGGCGGGAGGGACGGUGAGGGGCAAAAAAGCACGGGCAGACGUCGGACCAGCGGCCGCGGGAAUAGUCGGAGGAGCAGAGGGCGGAAC